UACGUAGGGGGCAAGCGUUGUCCGGAUUUAUUGGGCGUAAAGAGCUCGUAGGCGGUUGGGCAAGUCACGUGUGAAAUCUCCACGCUCAACGUGGAGGCGCCACGUGAGACUGCCCUGACUCGAGUCCGGUAGGGUGCGUGGAAUUCCCGGUGUGAGCGGUGAAAUGCGUAGAUAGUCGGGAGGAACACCUGUGGCGAAAGCGGGCGCACUGGACCACAACUGACGCUGAGGCGCGAAGCUAGGGGAGCAAACAGG
rnacentral:rRNA from 1 species